rnacentral:rRNA from 1 species
UGAGGAAUAUUGGUUAAUGGGCGCAAGCCUGAACCAGCCAUCCCGCGUGCAGGAAGACGGCCCUAUGGGUUGUAAACUGCUUUUCCAGGGGGAGAAUUUUUCUGUCGUGACAGGAAUUGACGGUACCCUGGGAAUAAGCAUCGGCUAACUCCGUGCCAGCAGCCGCGGUAAUACGGGGGAUGCGAGCGUUAUCCGGAUUUAUUGGGUUUAAAGGGUGCGUAGGCGGAUUGAUAAGUCAGUGGUGAAAACCUGCAGCUUAACUGUAGACUUGCCGUUGAUACUGUCAGUCUUGAGUGUGGUCAAGGUAGGCGGAAUGUGUAAUGUAGCGGUGAAAUGCUUAGAUAUUACACAGAACACCGAUUGCGAAGGCAGCUUACUAGGCCAUUACUGACGCUGAUGCACGAAAGCGUGGGGAUCGAACAG